GUCAGGAAUGGUGGCGCACGCCUGUAAUCCCAGCAACUCUGGAGGCUGAGGCAGGAGGAUCCAAGAUCAAGGCCAGUCUCAGCAACGUAGCAAGACCCUGUCUCAA
rnacentral:sRNA from 1 species